UCCUAAUCGUGAGCUCCAAAUCCUGGCUGCAGGGCUGGGCAUUGGAGGUCUCUGGUGUUCCUCCCUCCAGCCUUGUCAUGGCUUGGCACACGGAUCAGAAGCAGCACAGGCUCGGGCAUGGGGCAAUGUGGGCUAUUGGCCACGUUCAGGAUUUGUCUGAAGCUGCCAGGGCUGGUUGGCUGAGCACAGCGAGGGCUCAGGGGUGUUUGUUCUCAAAGCUUUUGCCCUUUUGCAGAUACCACCGGUGGGUGCCUCGCCUGGAUCCAGCCUCGGGCACACAGGACAAGCAGAGGACACGAGUGGCCACGCAGCACUUUCCAGCCAUGCAGAGGAGGAAGAGGUGGACUCAGAAAAUGAGAAGCUGGUGGUGAGAGAGCCAGAGGAUGAAGAUGCUGCAGAUGAGACAUUUUCUUUUAAAUACAGUCCUGGAAAACUAAGGGGAAACCAGUACAAGUCAAUGAUGUCCAAAGAAGAACUAGAGGAAGAACAAAGGAUUGAGCUGACCUCUGAUCUCACAUCUCUGUAGCGAGUACCUUAGGUCCUCGGCCACAAACAUUCUUGCAAAUCUUUUUGACCUGAAGACUAUAUGAAGUUGUCCCUAGCCUCCUCCUAAAGGCAUCCCUUGGCAUCAUUAAAGGCUUGAGAGAAAUACCAAAACCAACCAAACACACCCAUAAGAGAAAUCCAUAAACCCUCAAAACUUGGGAUCCCCUCUUGGUCUGAAGUUGAGUUCUUCAAAAACUCCUGUCAAGUUUGAGGAUAUCCUGUUGUGUGGCUCCAUGGACUGGGGCUGGGCCCAAGCAGUGACCUGAGUUGUGUUUGGGGGACUGGGAAGAACCUUCCUCCCUCUCCCCCAAACAAAACCCAAAGUGAACACAGAAUAUGCAAUGAGUCUAUUAGUUGUGUUUGUUACAUAUAUUAGGCCAUGAAAUUCACAUUGUUCCUUUCCUGGGGUGGGCAAACCAUAGCUCUGCUCUCAGACCAGCUGGGACCUUGUAGCAGAAUCUCAAGUUGUUUUGUCCUGGGGCCAAAUGCCUCUUUAUUGCUGGGGGGUGGUAACUGCCUGUGAUUUCCAGUGCUGUACAAAGCUGCUUUACUCCGAGGGGUGGAGGGGACAAAGUGGGGUCCGUGUGAGGGAUGGCAGACCAUGGCUGGGCUGACUCAAAUCUUGCUUCUGUAGUCAUUUUAGCAGAGAGCUGAUUCUGUAGGUAGACAGGAGGCUCAAGAAGUGAUGAAGUUUGAUUGUUUAGCUGUUCUGCUUGCAGUGGAGAGACCACACUUUGGCUGCUGUUAUUAUCUGCAUCCUCACUUUUCCCUACUCCAGCUCCCAAGAGGAGAGACCCAAGGAGGCAGCUCUGGCAUCAGGGGCUCCCUCUGGCUCAGGAUGAGGUCCUGGGAGGGGCACACUCCCCAUUCCUCUGCCUGUUUGCUGUUCCAGUGCUGGUCCAUGGGAGCCAGAGCUCAGUGCUGCCCCUCGGCUCUGUCACACAGAGCAGAUUAAUUUGGCUGGGCACAUACUCGGUUUUAAGUCAAACCCAGCUGGUUUUUGAGAGAGAGAAAAGGGUCCAAGUCCUUUAGUGAUGUUAUAGAAACACCAGGCUGGGUGGGGAUGUGUCCUCCAAAGCUUCUCUGUCACUGCCUCUUGGCUAAUGCUGCAAACAUAUCAGGAACCCAACUGGCUGCUUUUUUUCCUCCCUUUUAAUUCCUAUGCAGACAAUACUUGAAACCUUGUACACAGUUGUCCUUUCCAGCGCCUGGGGUUGGCAAUUCUUCAUAAACAGGCUCAUUUAAAGAACAGCAGGAGGCUUCAGCUUUAGAAGAGGCUGGGCUGCCCCUUCCCAGCCGACAACUGCAAGCGUGUUCAGUGGUUUGCAUAUGAAUUUAGGCACAUCUGGACCCUCUGCUUCAACAUCCCGCUGGUACAGCCGCUGUCCCCCCUCGGUGCUGGCUGGCUGACUGUGUCCCAAGCACCCAACUAUGCAAAGAAUGCCUUAUAUCCGUUGUGUUUAAGUUACAUGGCAAUAUGUACAUCCAGCAAAGUCAGUAGUUAAGUCCAGAUUUUUGCUAGUGGCAGCAAGUCAAACUCUUUCUUCAACUCAAAUGGCUGUCUGGGUAUUUUUUACUUUUGUUUGUUUUUGUUUGUUUUGUAUCUGAUGGUGGCUCUUAUACAAAGGACUGUAAUUCUAGUGGCUUGAAUCUGUAAAAAUUGCCUUUGUUUGGUCCAAUAAACCUUUGAAUAGUUU